GGGGAGUGGCGCGAAGGCCGGGGAGAAGCAAUGGAGUGCUCUGCCGUGGCGGCGAUUGAGCAAACAGGGCGGUGCUGCAGAACUCCGGGGGUGACGCCAACGAUCAUUGCGUUCUGCCGUCAGGGCGGCGUAGGGGCGGGUAGACUGGUGGUUGGGAUUUGGCGGAAAGCGGGCGUCGUCGUGCGGAAGAGGCGAUAGAAGCGACCGGUUAAACGGCGCUAGAAUCGAGGGCGCACAGGUGAGAAGACAGGCGGACGCGGGCGCGGGGGAGAGCGCGGAACAACAGAUUGUCGGGCGGCGUCUGACAGAGCGGGGAAAGGAACUGUCGCGGCCGCGGUCAGGGUUGGCGGUGGAGGAAUCGUCGUGUAGCGAC
rnacentral:lncRNA from 1 species